rnacentral:rRNA from 1 species
AGUGAACGCUGGCGGUAGGCCUAACACAUGCAAGUCGAACGCGUCGCGGACGGGUGUGGCAUACAUCUGACUCUCCUCUGUCGUGGGGGAUAACGUAGGGAAACUUACGCUAAUUCCGAAUACGUUUGAAUGAGCCGUUGUCGGAUUAGCUAGUUGGCGGGGUAAAGGCCCACCAAGGAGACGAUCCGUAGCUGGUCUGAGAGGAUGAUCAGCCACACUGGAACUGAGACACGGUCCAGACUCCUACGGGAGGCAGCAGUGGGGAAUAUUGGACAAUGGGCGCAAGCCUGAUGCAGCAAUACCGCGUGGGUGAAGAAGGCCUUCGGGUUGUAAAGCCCUUUUAUUAGGAAAGCGGUACCCAAAGAGUAAGCACCGGCUAACUUCGUGCCAGCAGCCGCGGUAAUAC